CAAACUAAUUCUAAAGUUUACAUGGAGAGGCAAGAGACGCAGAAUGGCCAACACCGCAUUGAAGGAGAAAAACAGAUUGAAGAAGUGACA